UCCCAACUGAUAACAGCGGCCGGAGCCAACAACGACGUGUUUUCACAAACAAUAGUGAUAAACUACAGUAGUCCCUCCCUACUGGUUCAGGGAAGAUGCAGGUGCCCAGUAGAUGUUCAGUAGAGUCUUCACACCAAGUGACACCCGCUUACAUCGGAGUUUUGAUUUUAAAGGCUCCUUUUUACAAUUAUUAACCCAGGAUCAGACACGUUCACGCGAUUUAUAACAUGACAGAGCCACGUUUCAAAGGAUUGUGGGCCAAGGAGGAUACUGCGGGGAGACAGCCAGUGCUGAAUAUGCAUGGCCUUGUCUGAGGAGUCUCAGACUAUGUAUCUGUAAAGCCAAAUGUCCUUUGUAUCCUUUGUAAAGUCGACGGUCCUAUCUUUUGUGUAUAAAACUGUCUCUCAGCUCUGGUGAGACAGACAUG